CUUAAGUAAAUGAGUCAGGAUAAAAACCUAUAUUAAAUAUUAAUGAUUGUUGCCCCAGGGUGGUGGGAUCAUGAAUGUUCUUUUUUCUAUGUUCACUUAAAUGAAUAUAUCAUACUUUCAUAAUAAGAAACAUGAAAUAUUUAUACAAAAAUUUUUAUAAAAAUUAAAAACAUGAUAUGCUUUUAAGGGUCUGAAAAUGUACAGAAACUGGAGACAAGCCUAUUAAAAUGGUAACAAUGACAAUUACUUUGGGUUUUUUUUUUAUUCUUUAUGUUUUCAGAUUCGGAAAAUCUAAAAUAAAAAAUUUCUAUAUUUAGCACCAACUACAUUUAUAAUAACCUUAAAACCCACAAAAAUUUGAGAUGAUUUUACAUGCUUAAUAUGUAAAAAAUUCACUUUGUUUUUUUGUCUAGCCAGUUCUUUUGAAGUUUAAGACACAUGAUUGUGAGACCUGAGAGAGAGGUGGCAGAUCUGGACAUUGUAGGUGGAGGCAUCAGGUGGCAGGCAGCAUGUUGCUUUACUAGUUUGGUGGUACAUCCCAGGAGGUCAUUCCUACCUACACUUGCUUUCUGUGUCAUGCCAGUCAUCAUUGAGGAAGUGGGUCCUCCUCCAAGGACUUCCACUGGGUUUUGUCUGAAUUCUGUCUCGCACCACAUCAUGGCCAGGAGGCUGCAUGCUGGUAGCAUUUUCUAUUCCCUAAACCAAGAAGCACAAGGCAUGGAGACUGGCUGAGACAUUCAGUUCAGAUGUGGCAAGAUGGGGUUUUCUCAUCCCUUCCUUUUUUUCCUUGUCCCUCCUCCUCCCCUUUUUCCAAAAGGAAUAAGGUCUUUGGUAAGACAGAAGAAGGGAGACUAUAGAGAUUUUCUUGAAUAACAAUGCUGUGACCAAAUCAAGUUAUGAGUUGUGGAAGAUUCUACUUGCCAGCCCUGCUAGAAGUACCCACUUCCUGUUGGUAAUGAGAGACUUCUCUCCACAGGCUCACCGAAUCCAAGACACCCUUGACUGAAAGAAAAACAGUUCUUGGAAAAGACCUCUUAUAUAGCUUGCUCAAGUCACUAAGCUAGUUCUUCAUAUUUGUUCCACAUAAAAAUGUGUAAAGAAUAUUUGUUUAUUUUAAGCUUCUAAGAAGGGCAGGGAGUUGAGACAUGCUGAGUGUGUGUGCUUUCUUCCUCUUCCCUGCAGAUUUUAGUAAACAACAGAGCCUUACUUGAAAUUUUGUCUGUGUUCUUUAUUUAUAAAAUAUGAUAUUUUCCAAAUUGUGGCAUGUGUGUACCACUGGGAUGAUUUCAGUUGGUACAUGGAUAAACCUUUCUUAUUUUAAUAAUGAGGUGUUUGUUUGAAUAAUCAUGAGAAAAAUAUAACCAGCAUAAAAAUAUGAUUUUUAUGGAUAUUGUUGAUUAUGAUGUAGUCUCAUUUCUUUAAGUUUUAAGAAAAUGAGUUAACUUAAAGAGAAAUAUAAAUAGCAGAAGACUGAGUAAAUGGAUAAGGCAAGGAUUGGAUCUGAAAUAUAUGAGAUGUGGUGCUCGUGAGUGUGGUCAAUAUUAGCAAGAGGAAGUUUGUUUGCUUGUGGAUAUUUACUCUGAACAACUCUAAAGAUUUCAAGCUUCCUUAAGACCUGAUGUUCCUUGCCCUAUCUAGAUAGGGUCUAGAACUCUGCUCACAACCUCAGUCUUCAUCAAGUUGGAGCUGGGACCCUGGGGAAAGUUUGAGGGGACCAAGUAGGAGAAGAGAGAGAGAACAGAGAGAAAUGGGAACCCUGUGCUACUCAAGAUGGAUGCUCGAUGAAUUUAUAGGUGACUUGGUGGAGAGAGUGAUAUUUGUGGUACCAACUGUUCUCCAUGUGGGAGAGAGAUUAGUUAUUGGAAUCACAUUGUACUUAAAAAUUCUACCAAGUGUUCAGGGGUAUCACCCAAAGCUAUAGGCAAUUGGGGGUCAAUCUUAAUGGAGUCCUACUGAGGUACUAUAUAGAAGAAUUGUCCACAGUAGCUGCAGGAGAAAAGAAGAAUGAGCCCAGAGAAAUUAAGCAAUGAGAACAUAUGCUACAAUGUCUUAUCCCAAGACCUCAGCCCAAAGCUUCCACACAAGCCAUCUUACACUCCUGUCUUAUGGUCAUGUGUCUACACCCUACUUCAAAUUUUUAUGCAGAUAUUAUAAUGGUAUGCUAUGUGGACAUUAAACAGUAAUGUAUGUGUAAAUUUAACUGUUAUAAAAAUAUUAACAAUAUGUUAAGUUAAAAAAGCAGCUUCUUGGGACUGGGGAUGUGGCUCAAGCAGUAACACGCUCGCCUGGCAUGCAUGUGGUGCUGGGUUCGAUCCUCAGCAACACAUACAAAUAAAGAUGUUGUGUCUGCCAAAAACUAAAAAAUAAAUAUUAAAACAAUUCUCUCUCUCUCUUUCUCUCUCUCUCUCUAGUAAAAAAAAAAGCAGCUUCUAAAACAAUGUGUAAAGUGUAAUCCCAUUCUUUAAGAAGAUAAACAUGUUUAUAUUGAUUAUCACUUGAUAAUGGGAUUGAGAUGAUUUUGUUUUCCUAAUUUUUCAAAAUAACAAACAUAUACUAUUUGUAUGAUAUUUUUUAAUAUGGUUAUUUUAUUUUCACAUGGUGCUGAGGAUCAAACCCAGUGCCUCAUGCAUGCUAGGUGAGCAUUCUAUCUCUGAGCCACAAACCUAGCCUGUUGCAUGAUAUUUUUAAAGGUGAAAUAAUUCUCUUUAUUCAACACAAAAAUUGCACCUAAGGGGUCUUUCUAUGAUUCAGGUAGAAUCAUAUAGAAAUUUGAUCUCUAUAUAGGUUUGAUUGUCAAACCUAUGCCUGAGGUUUGGAAGAGGGCUCACAGCAUAGAUUCAGUGUUUUCAGCUGCUCUGAUGUAGGAGAUUAAACCAUAGUUUCUGUGGUAAACAGAAUUAUUGCAUUAGAUAUUUUUUUUCUGGAUGUGCAUCACUUAAGAAAGUAACUUUCCAAUAAUCUUAAUCAUUAAAUAUAUACAUACAUAAAAAGUACUUUGAAUUUCAGUGUUCUUUGAUGAUUAAAUUUACACAUGUGUGUUCUAAUGAAAAAUAUGGUUCUCAAUUUAAUUAAGCCAACCUUUCAUGUAACAUCUCUUACCACUACUAAUAUUUCCACUAUUUUUUCAGUUCUUUAAAAUUAUUUCACAUUCAUCAAAUAAAAAUUGGCAGAGAACUCUAUCAUAUUAUGCAUUAACUUUUAUCUCACCAACUCAAUCUACUUGGGAAAGUGAGUUAUCAAAUUGUAAUUUAGAUUCCCAAUUAUUAUUAAUAUUCAUUGUGACUUCCAAUUAUGACUAAACUGUGUGGCUUGAGGGGAUCAGAUAAAGAAGGCCCACGAAAUAAAUUCAUUCAAUAAAUAUACAUCAAGCACUGACAAUGUGUGUGACGAAAAGAUACCAGGGCUAACUCAGGACUUGGUGGUUUUUGUCCCAGAAUGGCUAUGGGAACUCAGGCAAGUUGCUUCUCUCUGGGCCUUUUCUUUUUCUUUUUUUACAUUAUUUUAAAAAUUUGUUCUAAUUAGUUAUACAUGACAGUAGAAUGCAUUUGACACAUCAUAUGCAAAUGGAGUAUAACUUCUCAUUCUUCUGGUUGUACAUGAUGUAGAGUUACACCUUAAGCCAGUCAUGUAAUCAUAUAUGCACAUAGGGUAAUAAUGUCCGAUUCAUUCUAUUAUUAUUCCUAACUCCAUGCCCCCUCUCUUCCCUUCACUCCCCUUUGUCUAAUCCAGAGUGCCUCUAUUCUUCCGUAGCUGCUUCUCCCUUAUUGUGAAUUAGCAUCCGAAUAUCAGAGAAAACAUCUGGCUUUUGUUUUUUUGGGAUUGGCUUAUUUCACUUAGCAUAAUAUUCUCCAGUUCCAUCCUUUUCCCGUCAAAUUGGGCCUUAGUUUUUUCAUCUGGAAAAUUCAGUACACUUAUCAUUAUGUAUAGACAUCUAUGCUAGACAUUCUGAAAGACCUCAAAACACAUUCAAGGAAGUUAGAGUGUAGGAGAAGAAAUAGACAAAUAAUUAUCUACAAUAAAAGGCAGCCCAUGGCUAAUGCCUUAAGGACCAUCUUAAGGAAAGUGGUUGAUAAGAGCAGCUCUAGGGGUCAAUGAGCUGUGGUCACACCUUACCUCUGAUGAUUGCCAACAGUGAGAACUGUGUAAGUGACAUAACACUCUCUCAGACUUUUAGUUUUCUAAUUUGUGGGUUUAGAACAUCUCAUAGGGUGGCUUUGAAGAGUAAAUGAGAUAAUAUUUUUAUAUAUAAACAUUUAGCACAGUGGUGGGCUCUUGGUAAGUGUGUAAUAAAUGUUAGCUGCUAUUAUUAACAUUUUCCAUCUGGGAGAAUUCUGGUGGAAGGAAAAUUUAAAUAGUGUUUUGAAAGAUGGGCUAAAUGUUUCUUUAAAAAUUAAAAAUAACGUUAAAAGCAACAUAAAUAAUACACAUUUAUUGCAGACAAAUAAGUGUGGAAAAGAGACAAAACAAAACAAGGAAAAACACAUGGAACUCUAGCAAAUGGGUGAGACUUUUAGGCAGAGGUGGUGAGGAAGCAUUUCAGGCAGAGGGUCAGGAUAGGGAGGUGGAGGAGUGAUGUUCACUCACCUGAGCAGAAGCAGAGGGUCCUCUGGGAGAGUGAUCUCAGGCUGGAUCAAAUGGUAGAGGGCCUAAGUUCUGGCCUUUAUCCAGUAGGCACUGGAUGACACUGGUGAUAUUUAGGCAAGAGCAAUUAGUUGAAAGAAAUAUUUUAGGGACCAUUUAUGCUCUUAAAGGGCAUUCUGAGCCAAAUACCCCCCUCCUCCCCCCAAAAAAACCCCAAAACAAAAAAACAACAACAAUGACAAAAAAUGGACGAACAGCAUACCUGUAAUCCUGGUGGCUUGGGAGGCUGAGGCAGGAAGAUUGUGAGUUCAAAGCCAGACUUAGCAUGUUAGUAAGGCCCUCAGCAACUUAGUGAGACCCUGUCUCAAAAUAAAAUAUAAAAAGGACUGGGGAUAUGGCUCAGUGGUUAAGUGCCCCUGGGUUCAAUUCCUGGGACAAAAAAAAAAAAAAAGGUUAGGAACACUUUGUAUAAACCCAAGGGAGUAUGUGAAGAUCAGUACUCCAUAAAGAACAACAACCUCUUCUUUUGUAAGCAAAUACUUGGAUUCACUAGAAUUCCUCUUGGGGAAUAAACAUCCUUUGUGGUAAAGAGGGAGGACUUCCCAGCCCCCAAAAGUCAUCAAUCUAAGGUCUUAGAAACAUGAAUCUUGUUAAGAGUAUGGACAUAUUAAUUUGGAAUAAGAGAUGGAGCAGAAUAGAAUUUCCUGGCAUAACAGAAGAGGAAAGUAUUGAGAGCUCAGGGUGUAGCAAGUGAUGAGAGGUACCUGGAAACGGGGCUCAGUAUGGGAAGGGAGAAAGGGAAAUUCCUAGAGCUGGCCAAAGCAGAAAAAAAGACCUUGAGAAAAGAAAGUUUUGUAUUGUUUGUGAGAUGAAUGAUGUAACUCUCCUUUUCCAUGUUCCCCCACAAGGUGUUUUUCAAGCUUGUAUUGUCCAUCUUUUUUUUUUCUUUCUUUCUUACAAGUGAGUAUUCUUUAGGAGUGACCCAAACAAAUAUGUUUUUGUUUAGGUUUGUGUGGAUAAAUCCAGAGACUACUGAGACAGACUUGGGUACAAAAGUCAAGGUUAUAGCUGACAUUAGUAAUAUAGACAUUGCUAUGCUGUGAAGGCUUGAUGCAUUUCAGUUGCCUACAGUCUUUGGUGGAAUCUGGAAUUCAGCAAAACAGUGCCAUUGAAAUUGUUCUAGGACCAAGGUGAAAUCAUUUACCCUAACAGCCUUGUGUAUGUCAUUCAUUGAUUCUAAUGGUUACCUAACACAGAAGCUGAAAAAUCUUUAACAAAGAACUCCCAAAUCUCUGUUUCACUAAUUCACUAUCAGUCAAUGGGUAGUUUCCCCCAAAUCAUAAUGAAGAAAAUCCCAUAUCAGAGUAAGGAUGGAGAACUUUUUGGAGGACAGUUUCAAAGAAGCUACAAGCCAAGGUCACAGAAGAACAUGUUUGACAAUUUACUUGUUUCUCCUCUCGUGAUGCUUCCCAUGACCAUCAGCCCUUUCUUUCCAGGAUUGUCCAGUUGUUACUUUCUUACUGCUGUUACCCUGACCAAUCUCCAGGUGGAGAGGAGCACCGGGCUGGCAUGAGUGUUUGCAUAGCACUUGAUACAGAUCUCUCCUACCCUUAACACAUUGUUUCAUGGUUCUUUGCUCAUGGUUACCCUUUCAUGUUAGGUACAGCUGUCCCCUGCUGGUAAUUCACCCUGAGGUCCCUGGAGAGGAGGUUGGGCUCUUACUUUUUGUUAUUUUGUGAGGAUCUUUUCCAAAAGUCUACAGCCUGGGCAGAGUCCAUUUUAGGAAGAUUCACUGGCUGGGUGUGGUGGUGCAUAACUGUAAAACCAGUUAUUGAGAAGCUGAGGCAGGAGGAUUGCAAGUUCAAGACCAGCCUCAGCAACUUGGUGAGAUACUGUCUCAAAAUAAAAAAUAAAAAGUUCUGGGGAUAUGGCUCAGUGGCAAAGCACCUCUGGGUUCAAUCUGUCAUACUGAAGAUUCACUGAAGGCUCCUGGAUACUGAGAGGGCGGUGACUGAUUUACCUGUCUACUCCAUAGACCAGAACUCAGGUUUCUUACAGUUCAUUGUUUUGCUCCCAAGCACUUCUGAGGCCAGAGUCAACUUAAAUUCUCCUUUUUCAUGCUCACACUAAGUAUUCCUCAGGCAUCACCAUUUUUUCAGUCUAGGACAAAUUCACCAUUAGGGGCACAAUGUUAAAUGUUGAAUACUCAGCGUCACAGGCAGCUGAGCCACCUGGGUGGGUGCCCAAAGUCUCAUUCUUAGAAUCCCCACACUUACUUGAUGAUCUCUUUUAGCCAAAUUGAAAUUCAUUCUUUUUUUUUUUCUUUUUUCCCUGGUGGUGCUGGGGAUUGAACCCAGUGCCUUAUGAAUGCUAGGCAAGCAUUCUACCAACUGAGCUAUAUCCCUAGCCCCGCAAAUUGAAAUUCUUAAUUGUUGAACAAAGACCCUACAUUUUCGUUUUGCCCUGAGAUUGACAAAUUAUGAGUCAAUCCUGGAGAUAUUUUUUCCUAACCUCAUUUAAAGCUACUUCCCAAAGUCCUUAUUUUCUACUUUCGGGUUGAUGUCUCCUCAAGCCAAUGAUGUAAGUGACCAAAUCCAUCAUGAGGCAAUCCCACCUUUACAUCCAGGGCAAGGCUUGAUCUUAUGGUUCCAACAAGGUAAUCUUAUAAAAAUUAACAUUAGACAUUUUCCCCAAUAUGUAUGAUUUAAGGCUUCUAGAAGUCCUAGAUCCAUUCUAACUUAGGAUCCUCUAGUUAUAGAUGUUAGAAAUGCUAUUUAUAUGAGUUUUUAAUAACUUAUCUUCAAUUUUUAGAAGCACACUUGAGUUAAACAGACUUGGGAAAUAUAGAAGCACUUGUUUAUGUAUUAGAGUAAGUCAGAAUUGCCAUUUAUUUAAAUUCUGAUGGUUUAGAUCCAUACAGGGAAGUACUUUUUUAUGAUUAAAAAAAGUACUUUUUUAUGAUUAACAUUAAGUUAGGGCUGGGGCUUCUAAGCUUCUUCUAAGCUCAGUGGUUUUUUUAAAAUAUAUUUUUAGUGGUUGAUGGACCUUUAUUGUAUUCAUUUAUUUACAUGCAGUGCUGAGAAUUGAACCUAGUGCCUUCCACAUGCUAGGCAAGUGCUCUACCACAGAGUCACAACCCUAGCCCUAAGCUCAGUGGUUUUUAAGCUGGGCCAAGUAAGAUCUUAAGAGUUCCAUUUGAAUACUUGGGGUGGAGAGAGGGGACACUGCAGAGGACCAGCUCUAGGUCAUAUGGGAUCUUGGAAUCUUCCAUUCUGGUUUCAGACAAUUAUUCUUUUUACUUUUUACAUUUUGUGCUUAUAUGAGGUUCUUCUAAUAAAAAAAAAUCCUGAAAACUGAACUGAGCUGGUUCAUCUCCUUGCACUGCCAUUUGAUAGAAGAAGCCACUGGAGUUUAGAGAGAAUGGGUGGAUUGUUUCAGUUAACCCAGAUUAUCAAUUGGAAUAGCUAGGUGUCAAAUUUGACUUCUUGGCUCCCAGUUAUAUAUUGCUGUUUUAUUAUUGUAAUUCUGUCCAGCUAGAUAAAUAAUUUCACUAGAACAUAGUGUUAGAGAAGCUCAAGGAAUAGGUUGCUUGGUUUAUGUUUCCAGAGGAAAGUCUGAAUUCAUUCUGUUCAUUCUAAUUUCUCUAUGUCCCUGUCCUGUGUCAUUGUCUUUCAAUAUGAAAUCCAAUAGGAAAAUGGAAGGUGUUAUUGAUAGCCCCUUCAAACCCUGUAAUAGAGAAAAAUUUUAAACAAUGUAAUGUCCAUUAAAUAAAUUGUAGUUCACCCAUUUUAUAUAGAGCAUCAUACUGCCAUUAUAAAGAAUGAAGUAAUCUUACAUGUAGACAUAGAAAAAUGUCUACAAUAUAAUGUCAAGGAAGGAAAAAAGGUCAACUUUUGUGCUAGUUUACAUAGGAAGGGCUCAUGUUUGUUUAGAAAAGUUUGUAUAUACUCUAGCAGAAUAUUUGGGAAGAUGCACACUUGCAAUGGUUACUUCCCAGGAUUGGUGUGGUAGGGAACUUUUGCUUUGACAAAAUAUUCUUCUUUGCUUGAUUUUUUUUUUUAAAACAAUGAGCAGGGGUUACUUUUGUAAAAAUCAGUUUUAUUUUUUAAAAGAAAAAGUUGUGGUUGUUCUCUUAUUGGUAAGAAUAGAUAAUCCAGUUAUCAGAGGUUGCUCUUAAUUCAACAGUAUCCCCCCUCUGGCUACAAAAAUAAGUGAGGGCUUUGGAGGUGAUCAAAAUCUACUGCCCUAGGCUAAAAAGAAUAUUUGCUCUUAUUCACACUAGGUAUUAUUUUUGAGUUAGUAUAGAGUUUCUCAAUUUUGUUCUCUGAACUCACAAGUCUUUUUUGUUAUUUUUCUUCUAAUAAUAAAAGCAACUCAUUAUAUAAAACUGGGAAAAUACAGGAAAACACAAAGAAGCAUGGGCUUAUGGUCCAAUCAUCUAGAGGUCUUAUGGACAUUCUUGGACUGAUAAUUGCCAUGAUUUACCUCUGAGAUUGGGCCACUGCCACCUAAACAAAUUAUCAAGGGGAUCAGAAGACAAUCCAGCUAUUUGAGCUCCAUCUCUGCUGGUCCUGAAUGGUUGUGAGUGAAGAGGAAGGGGCAGAGGGCCAAGACAGACUGUCCUAAGGGACAGAAAUGCUGAGAUGGUUGGAAAUGUACAGCAACUGGAACUACUACAUCCUUACUUGGGAGUGUGAUCUUCAGAACUACCUCCUGUGCACCAUGAUGUUCACAAGAGAAACCACAUAGAACCUUAAGGAGUCAAGAGGAAGACCCCAUCCAUUCUGCAACACAGCCUUCCCCUUGAAGAAGCCAGACAAUAGAUCUGAGAUGACCUGCCUUUGCCAUCAUCCUGUACACUGAGAGGCAUUCCAGGGAUGACAUUGGCCUGUGAUCUGGAUUGAAACAAGUUUUUCUGAUUUCCUGUGUAGACCUGCAUUGCCUAAUGCAACUGACCAGAGGAGACACAGUUGAUCACGUUUUUUAAACAGUUGAAAUAGACGCCAUUCUGGCUAUGAUAACUCUCAGAAUGAAGACAGCAAGCUCUAUAACAGGUUGACUCUCCUUCGAUUUACUGAAGAGGGACAUGGAACAACCUGGAAAGAAAUAUGUUACAGGAUGACUGGACUGUGGAACCCAGAAAGGAACUCUCCAUUAUCUUCCUCCGUGAGAAAGAAGUAAAGUGAUAUGAAGAUGAAGCCCACCUAGCUUCUCCUUACCUUCAGACUACCUACCUUUUUAUCUGAGUGCCUGCUGUUGGUGGACUUCAUUCAAACUCUCCUUUACUGAAAUUACCCACUUGUUAUCAUUCCCCAUCACUUCUUUGCCAUUUGCAUAUGUGCUUUCAAUCAAACACAUUCUCAGAACCAUAUUGUAUGAAAGAACAUUCACUCUCCCUUUAUGCAUGUAUGAUAUAUUUAUAUUUCUAUGGAUUUACAGAUUCUUAUCAUGGGUUUGCGUGCAUUACUGCCAUUAUUUAUAUUGAGGCUCAAAAUGUUCCAGAUUUGUUGAGUAAGAUAUUGUAGAUCUUUAUCACCGAAACUUCAG